rnacentral:lncRNA from 1 species
AGCUCAGCUCCAAUUUGACCCCUAGCAGAGGAACUUCCAUAGGCCACAGGUGCGGCCAUAAAAAGAAAGUAAUAAUAAUAAUAAUAAUAAUAAAUAACAGUAAACUGCAGGCUAGCUGAAGCAGGACCCAAACCUCAUUUCAUUCCCCACUGAGCCUAGCACAGUGUUGGGUACUUAAUCAGGGCAUCUUAUUUCAGGCCUACUUAUGUAUAUAUAUUUCACCUCUUCCUCUUUGGCUUUUAGGCCAAGAAGGUCUCCGAACUUCAAUUUUUCCUUGGGCAAGAGGAGGAAUUUGGAAAAUAUGAUCUAUGUAAGUAAGGUUGCCUCCAGUCCUGACGUUCAUAUGAAAUCAAAAUCCUCUUGGCAGUUCCAAGGAAUCUAUAUACUGAUAAAACAAAUACUGAUGAGGUAACCUCCUUGAGACAUAUGUUGCUUUGCUUUGCUUUCCAAUUAUCAGAUGGCCAAAACAGGAAACAAAAUAGUCCCCCCAAAAUAGCAGGAAGCAAAAUGCCCCCAAGUAACCCUGGGUAAAGAAUGGCUUGUCGAAGUUCCCUGGUGACCUAGCGAUUAAGGAUUGGACAUUGCCACUGCCGUGGCUCCAGUUUGAUCCCUGGCCUGGGAAUUUCCACAUGAUGUGCCGGUAUGGGGGGAAAAAAAGGAAAAGAAAAAAGAAAUAAAACGUCCUCAAGAAGAUUGGAAUGCAAAGUGGGUAUUAACAAAAAAAUGGAUUGUCAAUUGUUAUUCUUUGAAAGGCCAUCAGAAAACCCAUUCCUUAAGCAAAGUAAGUUUAUUAGACCUACCAGAGGAAGAGAGUACAGAAUCUUAAGAAUUCUCAAAAGGUGGAAAUCAAUAGAAGAUACUGAUAGGAUUUGGAGGUCUGGAUUCAGGUGGUUUAAAGUGGAUCUUCCGAAUCAGAGAGACGAUCAGGACAGGAAAGUUGGUGACAUUAUAGUUCAGGCUUGGCAGACACAGGGAAGGAAGGGCCUGAAAGCAAAUCUUGAAAAAGUAAACUAUUGGUUGUUGAGAAAAUUGUUUAUCCAGGUGAGUGAUCUAUUGUCUUAAUCGGAGAGAUGUUUGCCUAGAGGAGCAAAUUAUUUCAGAUAAAUCGGCUUGCAGAAAUUUCAUGAAGCAAAGAGUGAAGUUAUGUAUUGGUUUACAAUCAUAACCUCCCAGGCCUGAAUUUCCUAGAACAAUAAACUAAGUCUUGUCGCUGUAGGAGGUCUCA